rnacentral:rRNA from 1 species
CGUGAGUAACCUGCCCUUGACUCUGGGAUAAGCCUGGGAAACUGGGUCUAAUACCGGAUAUGACCUUCCAUCGCAUGGUGGUUGGUGGAAAGCUUUUGUGGUUUUGGAUGGACUCGCGGCCUAUCAGCUUGUUGGUGGGGUAAUGGCCUACCAAGGCGACGACGGGUAGCCGGCCUGAGAGGGUGACCGGCCACACUGGGACUGAGACACGGCCCAGACUCCUACGGGAGGCAGCAGUGGGGAAUAUUGCACAAUGGGCGCAAGCCUGAUGCAGCGACGCCGCGUGAGGGAUGACGGCCUUCGGGUUGUAAACCUCUUUCAGUAGGGAAGAAGCCGCGAGGUGACGGUACCUGCAGAAGAAGCGCCGGCUAACUACGUGC